UUUGUUUUGUUUUUAACCUGAGGGAAAUGACAUAACUGUAAGGAAACAGCAUAAAAACAGUCUCUAAAUUAAUUGCUGGAAUUAUAUGCAAAUGUGUAGGAAAAAAAAAUGUGUGAGGGGUUUCUUUGGACAAGUGUGACAGCCAGAUUAAGCAAAAGAGUAAAUUUACUUUUUAAAUGUAAUUAACUUAAUAGGCUCUGUAACUACGUAGGUCCCUGUGAAUGAAUGGAUUAUAUGAGGAAAAAUUAAAUAUACUAAAGCCAAACCUUUUGAAAUUUACAGGAGGACAAACCAGAUAAAAUUAAUUAUGAGAUUCAAGCAAUAGCAGUAGGAAGUGUGAUAGCACAAAACACUGAGUAUCCCAUUCACAAUUUUUGCUGACUCGUAUAAGAAAACACUCAUCUUGGUUUUAUUUCGUUUUGGCUUUGUUUUCUCCUGUGUUAUUAGUAGAAAUAAUUGUAAUAGCCUCUGAAAUACUUGUGAAAUAUAUUCAUUUUACCCAUUAAAAAUCUAUAACUUUGGCUUGGAAGGUUCUUCUUCGGUUUUAAAGAAAGAGGAAGGCUGAGAAGAUUUUUAGUGCUCCAGCUGUGGAUAUUGCCAUCUAUUUUCUGCAUGUCCUUUACUUGAAGUGCCAUAUAGUUGCCAUCAUUAAAUGCUAUACAGUACUGGAGUUCCUUCAGCUGACUGCUAAUAACCUCCCCAACAUGCAGCAGGAUAUUUUCACAUGAAUUAUAAAUCCUUACCAUCUUUUCCAGAUCAAAUAUCAAAGGUGAGAAGUGAGAGACUGGAAGUUUGGUACCACUCUACACUGAGGCUGACUGUGUUUCCUUUAGAAGUACUUGCUAUACCUUUGCAGCCACCCUACAAAUCCUACAAAUACAUACAGUACAAACUGUACAAGAAUAUGGAAUUAAAUCUAAGCAGCUCUUAGAAAAAUCAACAAAUACCGCUUCAAGAUGCAUGACUCAAAUCUUCAUCAUCUAUGGUUCUUUUCAAAUUACUCUUACAGAGAUUUUGAAGAACUUACAAAAGAACUUACCAGAUUUGACUUUUGCGUUUUGAAAUACUUUCGUUUACAAUUUACAGUUAACGGAUGGUAGACAAAGAUGAAAGAUGUGCAGUGCAAAUAGUUUCUCUCAGCAUUACCAAGAGAAUUACUUAGACAUGGCAUUGUUAUCAUACAAUGAUCACAAAUAUGGGAUUAAUGGUUAACCAUAAUGUGUAUGAGUCAUGAAGCUUUCUGCUGGUGCUUACUUCAGAGGCUAUUUUCCACUGGUGUAACAUGUGAGAAGAAAUAUAAGGUAUUUCUGUCUAAGGAUCUAAUUAAAAAAAAAAAACAAACAACAAACCAAGCACAAAAAAGGACCAGCAAGAGAUGUCUUUGCCUCUGAGAAGAAAUUGUUAACAGUUUUGCUGUAUGCUCUCUGAUGAAUUUAAGAACACAUAAUCAUGUCAGUCUAGACUUCACUGUAGCUUGACAGUGGGAAUAAGACCAUUUUCUCCACACUCCAUCUCACUUUUUAAGACUGAUAAAUAAUAAAUUUCUCACUUAAUUCACUUUUAGGUCACCUUAUGCUGCCACAUCUGUGUCAUAUUUGCUUUUGAAAAGUAAAGAAUGUAACACUGAUGACAAAUUUUAUGCAUCUGCUUGCAAAUUUUGUUUGUAGUUUCUUUAUAGCCUAUCUUGUUAACACAUAUCAUAUCUUGUUACCCAGAACAUCAUAGAGAGUAUCCUCACAGCAAAAUAAAACUGAUACCAGCUGUCUUAAAGACCAAAAUUCAUUUAAAUAUUUUUAUAGUAGGGUGUUCUUCUGAGUUGUUUAGAGUCAGGGCACCAAGGGAGUGAAUCUGCACAUACCUUCCUAGCACAGCCAUCCUCUAAAGAUGAAUACCCAAUUCUGACUCUGCCAGUACUGAUUUAUGUCAAACUAGUUCCAGGAAUUUCAGAGAAACUGCUGUGAGAUUAUAACUGCCAUCAUUAUACAAGUACAUAUCUGAUCAGUACCAGCUUCCUACAGAAAGGAAAAAAAAUCCUGUUAGCUCGUUUUAAGACAUCUCCUAAAGUUAAAGGCUGUACUUUCCCUUGUAUAGAAAACUGAUCUUUCAGCUUCAUAGGCAACGUAUUAACCCAAAUCUUUUUAUCAGCGCAACCCUUCAAACAUCAAUAAAGUACACAGCACAUUUCUGCUAAACAAAAGCAUUCUGUGUAUUCCCACUGUAAGCAUAAAAUUAAUUCCAUGGAAACAGAGUGACACCACUUCAAAAUCAGAGUAACUUAGCUCAAAAUGAGAACUAUCAAACAUGAAGAAAGGAAGUGGAACAUAAUUUGCAUUGUCAAGCAGUGGGACUGAGGACUGAGAUGGUAAAAAAAUUUAAAAAUAUCACAUACCAACUGAAUGAGGCACUUCAACAUUUACAGGAGUGAUGGCACCAUUUCUUAGAAUUGUAUGACUCAGCAAUGUUAUUUGGGUUGGCAUAAGAUUGGAUUUUUUUAACAAUGUGUAUAUUUUCCCUUGUCUUAUGCAAUUGCCAUAUGUGUUACCAAGGCUGUUGUUCUGAAACAAAUAGAAACCUUAUCCUCUGUUUUGUUGAUUUUGUUUGUGAACAUAAUUUUUCUUGGUUUUAUGCAAAUUAAAAAGUCUCUUGAAUAGUAGAAUAAACACAUGCUUGCAGUUGCUCUGCUGC